rnacentral:rRNA from 1 species
UGGGGAAUAUUGGACAAUGGACCAAGAGUCUGAUCCAGCAAUUCUGUGUGCACGAUGACGUUUUUCGGAAUGUAAAGUGCUUCCAGUUGGGAAGAAAAAAAUGACGGUACCAACAGAAGAAGUGACGGCUAAAUACGUGCCAGCAGCCGCGGUAAUACGUAUGUCACGAGCGUUAUCCGGAUUUAUUGGGCGUAAAGCGCGUCUAGGUGGUUAUGUAAGUCUGAUGUGAAAAUGCAGGGCUCAACUCUGUAUUGCGUUAGAAACUGUGUAACUAGAGUACUGGAGAGGUAAGCGGAACUACAAGUGUAGAGGUGAAAUUCGUAGAUAUUUGUAGGAAUGCCGAUGGGGAAGCCAGCUUACUGGACAGAUACUGACGCUGAAGCGCGAAAGCGUGGGUAGCAAACAGGAUUAGAUACCCUGGUAGUCCACGCCGUAAACGAUGAUUACUAGGUGUUGGGGGUCGAACCUCAGCGCCCAAGCAAACGCGAUAAGUAAUCCGCCUGGGGAGUACGUACGCAAGUAUG